CCCAGGGUACUGCAGCAUGUUUACAGUGGACUCUUAAGCACAACAAGGCAAGGGGGGUGGGGGGGGGAAGUCCAGUUAUUUGAGGAACCAGCUCUGGAACUGGGAGUACCCCGCCCCCCCCCACCCCAAAGGUCCUGUAAAUGGAGCCUGUCGAUGACGGCAAGGAUGACAGGGUGGAACAGCUGAAGUGUAGAGACGCAUGCCUGCCCCCUACAGGAGGGGAAUGGAGGGAAGCUGAGAGAUGCAUUAUGGGUUUGCUAAGCCCACCGCUUGGCCCUAACAGCCAACACCAACCAAUGAAGCCCUCACCCUCAUUUACAACUCGAUUUUAACACCCUCAGCAGGGGCUUGAUGGUUCAAUAACCAUGGAAAAUGGAUGGAUGCCUGGAAGCUGUAUCUAAACUCAUCAGUUAACAACACCUGACAUGACGGAGCUGAAAGCCGCGUUUGGACUGCAUUUCCAGUUCUUUUGAUGGUGCCAUGAAAAUAAGCCCACAUGCCACAAGUCCUUUAUGCGUGUUAUGAAGAUCUCCGAGGAGGGAGAGAGGGAGAAUAGGCAGAGGGAUCUUCUUCAGAUCUAUGUAGAUGCGGCCUUCAGCAGGGAAGCAGGGGCACCAAGGAGAUACUGAGUCCAGAAGGAUAUGUCUGUUCUUUUCUCACCUUGAAGUGGCUGUGGUGUGGAUGACAUGCCGGAUCUCAAGCAGACACCCAGCUCCCAGUCACUUAAUAGCAGGCCACACCCAUCACUCCUUAUUGUGAGCUUGACACCGAGUGUUUUUCAACACUAUCCAUCUGUCCGUCCAUCCAUCCAUCCAUCCAUCCAUCCAUCCAUUGCCAUUUAUCCAGUGCAGGGUCAAGGAUGACCAGCGGCUAUUCACUGCACAUAAUACAAGGGACAAUCUAGGAUGCAAGUUCAUCACAGAGCACAUACACACACCUUAGGGCAAAUAAGUCAUGAAACUAGACGGACACCAGAACACCCAGUAGAAAUUUGUGUAAAGACAGGAAGAGCACACAGCAUGCAGAGUAACAGCGUGGGAGUGGGAUUUGCCCCCCCCCCCAUUUAUGGGUGAGGAUGCAUUUGGUUAAAUAGAAUUUCAAUUUCUUUCUGAAAUGUAAUAUCUCCCUUUGAAUGUAACUUGUGACCCUUAUUGAGGCAAAUUGUUUUGCAUUUUGUAACCAUUGACAUUUCAGCGUGAGAAUUUUUUGAUUUUUCCACGUGUUAAAAAAGGUUUCAAGGCAGAACAGAAACUCCCUUGCAGAAGGUGGGCGUGACCCACGCCUCCCCAAAGGUAAUGUUCUCAGCUUGGCUUCGGGAUUCUCCAUGUCUGGUACAUUUGCUGCGUUUUGUUGUCCCACCCCCCUGAGUCUUAGCAUCGAAAAUAUAUUCAUGAAUCAUCGGGAGACUGCAGUAUUACCGAGGGAACUGCCGUUUGAUCUUUUCAGCAGCGCUCUUCCUUUCUUUGCCUAAAACAAUGACAGCAGGGCUCCCUCCAUGCCACACUGAGACUAUUCAAAAUUCACCCCAGAGAAAGAGACAUCAGCUAGUUUCAGGAUCU